rnacentral:rRNA from 1 species
CGCGGCCUAUCAGCUUGUUGGUGAGGUAAUGGCUCACCAAGGCGACGACGGGUAGCCGGCCUGAGAGGGCGACCGGCCACACUGGGACUGAGACACGGCCCAGACUCCUACGGGAGGCAGCAGUGGGGAAUAUUGGGCAAUGGAGGAAACUCUGACCCAGCGACGCCGCGUGCGGGAUGAAGGCCUUCGGGUUGUAAACCGCUUUCAGCAGGGAAGAAGCGAAAGUGACGGUACCUGCAGAAGAAGCACCGGCUAACUAUGUGCCAGCAGCCGCGGUAAUACAUAGGGUGCAAGCGUUGUCCGGAAUUAUUGGGCGUAAAGAGCUCGUAGGUGGUUCGUCACGUCGGAUGUGAAACUCUGGGGCUUAACCCCAGACCUGCAUUCGAUACGGGCGAGCUUGAGUAUGGUAGGGGAGUCUGGAAUUCCUGGUGUAGCGGUGGAAUGCGCAGAUAUCAGGAGGAACACCAAUGGCGAAGGCAGGACUCUGGGCCAUUACUGACACUGAGGAGCGAAAGCGUGGGGAGCGAACAGGAUUAGAUACCCUGGUAGUCCACGCCGUAAACGGUGGGCACUAGUUGUGGGGACCUUCCACGGUCUCUGCGACGCAGCUAACGCAUUAAGUGCCCCGCCUGGGGAGUACG